UACGUAGGGGGCAAGCGUUGUCCGGAUUUAUUGGGCGUAAAGCGCUCGCAGGUGGUUCAUUGCGUCGUGCGUGAAAGACCCCGGCUCAACUGGGGAGGGUCGUGCGAAACGGGUGAACUAGAGGCCAGUAGGGGGAUGCGGAAUUCCGGGUGUAGUGGUGGAAUGCGUAGAGAUCCGGAGGAACACCAGCGGCGAAGGCGGCAUCCUGGACUGGUCCUGACACUCAGGAGCGAAAGCGUGGGGAGCGAGACCGG
rnacentral:rRNA from 1 species